AACGCUAGCGAAGUGCUUAACGCAUGCAAGUCGAGCGAGGCUUCGAGCCGAGCGGCAGACGGGCGAGUAACACGUGCUUAAUAUGCCCUGGAGCGGGGAACAACUGGGGAAACCCAGCUAAUUCCCUAUACGCUUUUUAGACUGAAAUGUCUAAUCAGGAAAGGAGCAAUCCACUCUGGGAGUAGGGCGCGGUCCAUCAGUUUGUUGGUGAGGUAACGGCUCACCAAGACUAUGACGGAUAGCCGGACUGAGAGGUUGACCGGCCGCAAUGGAACUGAGACACGGUCCAUACCCCUACGGGGGGCAGCAGCCAGGAAUAUUGCACAAUGGAGGAAACUCUGAUGCAGCGACUUCGCGUGGAGGAUAAGCCCUAAGGGGUGUAAACUUCUUUUCUGGGGGAAGACGAAUGACGGUACCCCAGGAAUAAGGGACGGCUAACUACGUGCCAGCAGCCGCGGUAAUACGUAGGUCCCGAGUGUUAUCCGGAGUUACUGGGCGUAAAGAGUCCGUAGCCUGUUAUAUAAGUCUGCUUUCAAAGACUGUGGCUUAACCAUAGGAAGGGGGCAGAUACUGUAUAGCUGGAGUUAUAUAGAGGUUAGUGGAAUUUCCGGUGGAGGGGUGAAAUCCGUUGAUAUCGGAAGGAAUGCCGAAAGCGAAAGCAGCUGACUAUAUAUAUACUGACGGUAAAGGACGAAAGCUUGGGUAGCAAACAGGAUUAGAUACCCUGGUAGUCCAAGCUGUAAAUUAUGCUCGCUAGAUGUUGGGAUUUACUCUCAGUGUCGUAACCAAAUGGGUUAAGCGAGCCGCCUGGGGAGUAUAGUUGCAAGACUGAAACUCAAAGGGAUAGGCGGGGGAACACACAAGCGGUGGAUUGCCUCGAUUAAUGGGAUAAUAAGCCCAGAAUCUUACCUAGACUUGACAUGUAGUGUGUCGUAUGUGAAAGCAUAUUAGCCCAGCUUGCUGGGUACGCUACACAGGUGCUGCAUGGCCGUCGUCAGCUCGUGCCGCAAGGUGUCCGGUUAAGUCCGGAAACGAGCGCAACCCUCAUUUAUAGUUAGUAUGUCUAUAAAGACUGCUGGGGCAACCCGGAGGAAGGAGAGGACGACGUCAGGUCGUUAUGGCCCUUAUGUCUAGGGCGUCAGAGGCAAUACAAUGGGUAGUACAGAGGGAAGCAAUAUCGCGAGAUUGAGCAAACCCCAUAAAGCUAUCCUUAGUUCGGAUUGUAGUCUGGAACUCGACUACAUGAAGUUGGAAUCGCUAGUAAUGGCAGAUCAGCCACGCUGCCGUGAAUAUGUCCCUGUUCCUUGCACUCACCGCCCGUCAUACC
rnacentral:rRNA from 1 species